GCGUGAUUAUAAUCAAUGUAAAUCAAUUUAUACACAUAAACGUCAACCUGUGUAAUUUUGGAUCUAUGCAAAUGAAUUUUCUCGACAAAAUUUGGCCAGACCAUCUCUUGAAAUUUGAAAAUCAACUGCGCAUGUGCGAGUCUUAAUCGUCUGUUUGUGCAGGCUGGCCAUCCCGAGUUUCAUCUGUCAAACCGUUUCUACCGGCGAUGUAGUUGAAAAUAUAAAUUAUCGAGGUUAGAAUCUCAAAUAACUGAGUCAGCGACUCGGAAAGGUUUGUGAAGAAUUUGUUAUCGGGUCGGAAAGUUGAUUCUUCAAAGAACGGUCGGAAUUUAAGACUUAUGCUCUCUGAAAAUUCAAACGUACAUAUUUUGCGUAUGUUGGCCCACCUGCAUCGCAAACAAGAAUAUCACCGCGGGAAGAUUUAGCCGACCAAUGAGAUUGAAUUAUUAGGCGCAUGCGCGGUUGAUUUUCAAGUUCCAAGAGAUUGUCCCGGUAUAUCAAAUUUCCGAUGAAAAAAGAAA